CCACCGCAAGGGUAAGACCCCAGAAAGACUCUCUGGCUGAUAGGUCGAAGGUGUAAGUGCAGCAAUGUAUUUAGCUUAUCGAUACUAAUAGGUCGAGGACUUGACCAA
rnacentral:rRNA from 1 species